GACGAACCUUGCGAACGUUGUUCGGAAUCACUGGGCUUAAAGGGCGCGUAGGCGGGCUAUCAAGUCCGGGGUGAAAUCCUCCAGCUUAACUGGAGAACGGCCUCGGAUACUGAUGGUCUCGAGGAGGAUAGGGGCACACGGAACUGUGGGUGGAGCGGUGAAAUGCGUUGAUAUCCAUAGGAACUCCGGUGGCGAAAGCGGUGUGCUGGAUCCUUUCUGACGCUGAGGCGCGAAAGCCAGGGGAGCAAACGGG
rnacentral:rRNA from 1 species